CAGCCUGAGAAACGGCUACCACAUCCACGGAAGGCAGCAGGUGCGAAAAUUGUCCAAUCCUGACUCAGGGAGACAGUGACCAGAAAUAACGAUAAGCUGCCUUUGGUAGCAAUUCGGAAUGAGCACAAAGUAAAUUCUUAGCGAUCACCAAGUGGAGGGCAAGCCUGGUG
rnacentral:rRNA from 1 species